AACGAACGCUAGCGGUGUGGAUUAGGCAUGCAAGUCGCGCGCGAAAGCCUUCGGGCGAGUAAAGCGGCGAAAGGGUGAGUAACACGUAACCAACGUACCCCUCAGACUGGGAUAACCACUGGAAACGGUGGAUAAUACCGGAUGGUCCACUGGGCAGCAUUGCCUGGCUGGUAAACGGCGGCCGCAAGGCGGUUGCUGAGGGAGCGGGUUGCGGCCUAUCAGCUUGUUGGUGAGGUAACGGCUCACCAAGGCUAUGACGGGUAACAGGUCUGAGAGGAUGAUCUGUCACACUGGGACUGAGACACUGCCCAGACUCCUACGGGAGGCUGCAGUCGAGAAUCUUCCACAAUGGGCGAAAGCCUGAUGGAGCGGACACCGCGUGCAGGAUGAAGGCCU
rnacentral:rRNA from 1 species